UACGUAGGUGGCAAGCGUUGUCCGGAUUUAUUGGGUUUAAAGGGUGCGUAGGCGGCUUUGUAAGUCAGUGGUGAAAUAUGGCAGCUUAACUGUCAAGGUGCCAUUGAUACUGCAGAGCUUGAGUACAGAUGAGGUAGGCGGAAUUGACGGUGUAGCGGUGAAAUGCUUAGAUAUCGUCAAGAACACCUAUAGCGAAGGCAGUGUCCUGGGGAGUACCUGACGCUCAGGUGCGAAAGCCAGGGGAGCGAACGGG
rnacentral:rRNA from 1 species